CAAUAAAAUAUGUUCUAUAGGUUGCUGAGGCAUUAAUAGGGAAUAAGGUGAGAAUCCUUAACAGCCACGCUACUGUAAAAGCUACGAUACUCCGACAAGAUCACUGAAAUGAAAAUUUCGGGAAGAUGAGAGUAUCUGGUUUGAAGCUUUAAGUCAGGAGACCUGCCAUAGGACAAAAAUCAUA
rnacentral:ncRNA from 1 species